rnacentral:rRNA from 1 species
CCUACGGGUGGCAGCAGUGGGGCAUAUUGGGCAAUGGGCGAAAGCCUGACCCAGCAACGCCGCGUGAAGGAAGAAGGCUUUCGGGUUGUAAACUUCUUUUGACAGGGAAGAGCAGAAGACGGUACCUGUCGAAUAAGCCACGGCUACCUACGUGCCAGCAGCCGCGGUAAUACGUAGGUGGCCAGCGUUGUCCGGAUUUACUGGGUGUAAAGGGCGUGUAGCCGGGCUGACAAGUCAGAUGGGAAAUCCGGGGGCUCAACCCCCGAACUGCAGUUGAAACUGUUGGUCUGGAGUAUCGGAGAGGCAGGCGGAAUUCGGGGUGUAGCGGUGAAAUGCGUAGAUAUUAGGAAGAACGCCAGUGGCGAAGGCAGCCUGCUGGACGACAACUGACGGUGAGGCGCGAAAGCGUGGGGAGCAAACAGGAGUAGAUACCCGAGUAGUC